rnacentral:misc_RNA from 1 species
AGCAGCCGCGGUAAUUCCAGCUCCAAUAGCGUAUAUUAAAGUUGUUGCAGUUAAAAAGCUCGUAGUUGAAUUUCGGGAUCAAUUAGUCGGUCGUGCCUCUGGUACGUACUGGUUUUAUUGGUUCCUCCCUUCUGACGAAACAUGAUGUCAUUAAUUUGGUGUCGUGGAGAAUCAGGACUGUUACCUUGAAAAAAUUAGAGUGUUUAUAGCAGGCUAACGCUUGAAUACAUUAGCAUGGGAUAAUGAAAUAGGACGUUCGACCCUAUUUUGUUGGUUUCUAGGAUCGACGUAAUGAUUAAUAGGGAUAGUUGGGGGCAUUAGUAUUCAAUUGUCAGAGGUGAAAUUCUUGGAUUUAUUGAAGACUAACUACUGCGAAAGCAUUUGCCAAGGAUGUUUUCAUUAAUCAAGAACGAAAGUUAGGGGAUCGAAGACGAUCAGAUACCGUCGUAGUCUUAACCAUAAACUAUGCCGACUAGGGAUCGGAUGAUGUUAAUUUUUUUAAUGACUCAUUCGGCGCCUU